rnacentral:rRNA from 1 species
UACAGAGGGGGCAAGCGUUAUUCGGAAUUAUUGGGCGUAAAGGGCGCGUAGGCGGCUUGGCAAGUCGGGUGUGAAAACUUCAGGCUCAACCUGGAGCGGCCACUCGAUACUGCCAUGGCUUGAGUCCGGUAGGGGACCACGGAAUUCCUGGUGUAGCGGUGAAAUGACGCAGAUAUCAGGAGGAACACCGGUGGCGAAGGCGGGUCGUCUGGGCCGAACAUGAGCUGAGGAGCGAAAGCGUGGGGAGCGAACAGG